ACGAACGGCUAUUAAACAUCCUUGGUUUUGUGUUAUUUCAGACGACUGCAGUUGUGCCCACCCUAAAUCUCUCUCUCUCUCUCUCUCUCUCUCAAAUCUUCCUUUUGGAGCAGAAGAUGUAUUUCUGCCAUUAAAAGAACUCAAUCUAUAAUCUGCCGAAUGUAUCAAAUCAUCGAUUAGGAUAUAUAAUCUAUGAAAUUACCAUUGUCUGUCCCGUCUUCCCCCCAUUUUCCAUCAAUUUGAGUAAUUCCAGAUCCGGUGCCAUUAGUAACAUCUUUGGACGAACACCAAUUUGAUUUACAUCACCUUUGGAUCGAAGAUUUUUUCUGAAAAUGAAGUUUGGUGAAGGAAAAGAUGAAUUCCUUUUUUAAAUCAAGUCUAGGUGUAAACUGGUGAAACAGAAAAGAAAUAAAUGCCGAUAAAGAGAGGGGACGAAAUUAUCAUAAAUAAAACUCCAAAAGGUCGACAAAGACGAAGAAGAAAGAGCUCUCUCUGUUUUUAUUUACAAUAAGUGUCUAGUUUUAUUUGAUGAUAAGAGUUUUUUAAAAAUAAUUUUUUGUUUAUGAGACAAGCAUAUAUAUUGCACGCUUACAGUUGACGACAGUUAUGACAGAAAGAGGGUUUCACCUAUUAUGAAUUUAAAAAGGGGCAAAUGCAAAAUAACUACUUAUUUUGAGGGAGAAACUUAAAAUCCCCCAAACUUCUUUUUCUCUUUUCCUAAAUCCUGAAGUGUGCAAACCCUUGUCUCUUUUGAACCAGGCACAUGAGACAAGAUACACAACCAACACAAUUAAGUUGUGAUGGGGUGAACAAUAAUCUAUCCACCAUAACCUUCUUGAAUAGAAUUCUUAGAACCAUGUUUCACAGACUAUUUAGACCGUAUUAUUUUCUCUACUGGUCUAAUUUUUCUUUGGAAAUUAACUUCUUCGGGGAAGAGAUGAGA